AUUGAACGCUGGCGGCAUGCCUAACACAUGCAAGUCGAACGAGUGGCGGACGGGUGAGUAAUGUCUGGGAACCUGCCUGAUUGAUGGGGAUAACUACUGGAAACGGUUGCUAAUACCGCAUACCAUCGGAUGUGCCCCUAUGGGCUUAGCUAGUUGGUGGGGUAAUGGAUCCCCGAGGCGCCGAUCCCUAGCUGGUCUGCGAGGAUGACCAGCCACACUGGAACAGAGAAACGGCCAAGAGUCCGACGGGAGGCAGCAGUGGGGAAUAUGGGAAAAUGGGAGCAAGCCUGAUGCAGCCAUGCCGCGUGUGUGAAGAAGGCCUUCGGGUUGUAAAGUACUUUCAGCGAGGAGGCGGUACUCGAAGAAGAAGCACCGGCUAACUACGUGCCAGCAGCCGCGGUAAUAC
rnacentral:rRNA from 1 species